UACAGGUUGCUGACGAUAUCAACGUAACUUCCCUUCGUUUGGCAGAACAAACAAGGUUGCUGACGAUAUCAACGUGACUUCCCUUCGGUUGGCAGAAAAAACAAGGGUCAACGUUGAUACACCACUACAUCAUGCAGAUGGCUUUCUCUGCUGACAGCUCCGUGAAGAACUGGAAUUUAAGUUCUGGACUGCCCUUAAUGGAUCCGUUGAUGAGAAAAUGGUAAGUUUGGAC